rnacentral:rRNA from 1 species
GACGAACGCUGGCGGCGUGCUUAACACAUGCAAGUCGAGCGGAAAGGCCACUUCGGUGGUACUCGAGCGGCGAACGGGUGAGUAACACGUGAGUAAUCUGCCCCUGGCUUUGGGAUAGCCACCGGAAACGGUGAUUAAUACCGGAUACGACCACUUCUCGCAUGGGAUGGUGGUGGAAAGUUUUUCGGCCAGGGAUGUGCUCGCGGCCUAUCAGCUUGAUGGUGAGGUAAUGGCUCACCAUGGCUUCGACGGGUAGCCGGCCUGAGAGGGUGACCGGUCACACUGGGACUGAGAUACGGCCCAGACUCCUACGGGAGGCAGCAGUGGGGAAUAUUGGACAAUGGGCGGAAGCCUGAUCCAGCAACGCCGCGUGAGGGAUGACGGCCUUCGGGUUGUAAACCUCUUUCAGCAGGGACGAAGCGCAAGUGACGGUACCUGCAGAAGAAGCACCGGCCAACUACGUGCCAGCAGCCGCAGUAAGAC